UCCGACCAUAUCAAGCUGAAACAUCGAUUCUACUACGAUCACCGAAGUUAAGCAACGUCAAGCCUGGUCAGUACCUAGAAUGGUGACCGUUUGGGAAUAUCAGGUGCUGUAAG